rnacentral:rRNA from 1 species
GGGGGGGCGUGCUAAUACAUGCAGUCGAACGAGUUCUGAUUAUUGAAAGGUGCUUGCAUCUUGAUUUAAUUUUGAACGAGUGGCGGACGGGUGAGUAACACGUGGGUAACCUGCCCUUAAGUGGGGGAUAACAUUUGGAAACAGAUGCUAAUACCGCAUAAAUCCAAGAACCGCAUGGUUCUUGGCUGAAAGAUGGCGUAAGCUAUCGCUUUUGGAUGGACCCGCGGCGUAUUAGCUAGUUGGUGAGGUAACGGCUCACCAAGGCAAUGAUACGUAGCCGAACUGAGAGGUUGAUCGGCCACAUUGGGACUGAGACACGGCCCAAACUCCUACGGGAGGCAGCAGUAGGGAAUCUUCCACAAUGGACGCAAGUCUGAUGGAGCAACGCCGCGUGAGUGAAGAAGGCUUUCGGGUCGUAAAACUCUGUUGUUGGAGAAGAAUGGUCGGCAGAGUAACUGUUGUCGGCGUGACGGUAUCCAACCAGAAAGCCACGGCUAACUACGUGCCAGCAGCCGCGGUAAUACGUAGGUGGCAAGCGUUAUCCGGAUUUAUUGGGCGUAAAGCGAGCGCAGGCGGUUUUUUAAGUCUGAUGUGAAAGCCCUCGGCUUAACCGAGGAAGUGCAUCGGAAACUGGGAAACUUGAGUGCAGAAGAGGACAGUGGAACUCCAUGUGUAGCGGUGAAAUGCGUAGAUAUAUGGAAGAACACCAGUGGCGAAGGCGGCUGUCUGGUCUGUAACUGACGCUGAGGCUCGAAAGCAUGGGUAGCGAACAGGAUUAGAUACCCUGGUAGUCCAUGCCGUAAACGAUGAAUGCUAGGUGUUGGAGGGUUUCCGCCCUUCAGUGCCGCAGCUAACGCAUUAAGCAUUCCGCCUGGGGAGUACGACCGCAAGGUUGAAACUCAAAGGAAUUGACGGGGGCCCGCACAAGCGGUGGAGCAUGUGGUUUAAUUCGAAGCAACGCGAAGAACCUUACCAGGUCUUGACAUCUUUUGAUCACCUGAGAGAUCAGGUUUCCCCUUCGGGGGCAAAAUGACAGGUGGUGCAUGGCUGUCGUCAGCUCGUGUCGUGAGAUGUUGGGAUAAGUCCCG